rnacentral:rRNA from 1 species
CAUGCAAGUCGAGGGGAAACGACCCCUUAAGCUUGCUUUUGAUGGGCGUCGACCGGCGCACGGGUGAGUAACGCGUAUCCAACCUGCCCACCACUUGGGGAUAACCUUGCGAAAGUAAGACUAAUACCCAAUGACGUCUCUAGAAGACAUCUGAAAGAGAUUAAAGAUUUAUCGGUGAUGGAUGGGGAUGCGUCUGAUUAGCUUGUUGGCGGGGUAACGGCCCACCAAGGCUACGAUCAGUAGGGGUUCUGAGAGGAAGGUCCCCCACAUUGGAACUGAGACACGGUCCAAACUCCUACGGGAGGCAGCAGUGAGGAAUAUUGGUCAAUGGACGAGAGUCUGAACCAGCCAAGUAGCGUGCAGGAUGACGGCCCUAUGGGUUGUAAACUGCUUUUAUAAGGGAAUAAAGUUAGUCUCGUGAGACUUUUUGCAUGUACCUUAUGAAUAAGGACCGGCUAAUUCCGUGCCAGCAGCCGCGGUAAUACGGAAGGUCCGGGCGUUAUCCGGAUUUAUUGGGUUUAAAGGGAGCGUAGGCCGGAGAUUAAGCGUGUUGUGAAAUGUAGACGCUCAACGUCUGCACUGCAGCGCGAACUGGUUUCCUUGAGUACGCACAAAGUGGGCGGAAUUCGUGGUGUAGCGGUGAAAUGCUUAGAUAUCACGAAGAACUCCGAUUGCGAAGGCAGCUCACUGGAGCGCAACUGACGCUGAAGCUCGAAAGUGCGGGUAUCGAACAGGAUUAGAUACCCUGGUAGUCCGCACGGUAUACGAUGGAUGCUCGCUGUUGGUCUGAAUAGGUCAGCGGCCCAGCGAAAGCAUUAAGCAUCCCACCUGGGGA